rnacentral:ncRNA from 1 species
CUUAUCAAGAGUGGUGGAGGAAACAGGUCCUGUGAAGCCCGGCAACCUGAUAUUGUUUUAAGGUGCCAAAUCCUGCGGUUAUUUCCGGAAGAUGAGG